rnacentral:rRNA from 1 species
UACGUAGGUGGCGAGCGUUGUCCGGAUUUACUGGGCGUAAAGAGCGCGCAGGCGGUCGUACAAGUCGCGUGUGAAAGCCCCCGGCUCAACUGGGGAGGGUCACGCGAUACUGUUCGACUCGAAGGCAGGAGAGGGUAGUGGAAUUCCCGGUGUAGUGGUGAAAUGCGUAGAUAUCUGGAGGAACACCGGUGGCGAAGGCGGCAUCCUGGACCGGUAUUGACGCUGAGGCGCGAAAGCUAGGGGAGCAAACGGG